rnacentral:misc_RNA from 1 species
GAUGAAGAACGCAGCGAAAUGCGAUAAGUAAUGUGAGUUGCAGAAUUCAGUGAAUCAUCGAAUCUUUGAACGCACAUUGCGCCCAUUAGCAUUCUAGUGGGCAUGCCUGUUCGAGCGUCAUUUCAACCCUUAAGCCCUGUUGCUUAGCGUUGGGAGCCUACAGUACUGUAGCUCCCCAAAGUUAGUGGCGGAGUCGGUUUCACACUCUAGACGUAGUAAUUUUUUCUCGUCUGUAGUUGAGCCGGUCCCCUGCCGUAAAACACCCAAUUUAUCAAGGUUGACCUCGGAUCAGGUAGGAAUACCCGCUGAACUUAAGCAUAUCAAUAAGCGGAGGA